ensembl:rRNA 5S_rRNA 5S ribosomal RNA
GUCUACGGCCAUACCACCCUGAACGCGCCCGAUCUCGUCUGAUCUCGGAAGCUAAGCAGGGUCGGGCCUGGUUAGUACUUGGAUGGGAGGAAGAAUCUGAAACAAAAGAAC